UUAUGUGAUCGUCUCUCGCAUAUCAAUAAGCGGAGGAAAAGAAACUAACAAGGAUUCCCCUAGUAACGGCGAGUGAAGCGGGAAGAGCUCAAAUUUGAAAUCUUAAAGGGUUUCCCUUUACGAAUUGUAGUUUAAAGAAGUGUUUUCUGUUGAGGUUUUGGUAAAAGUUCUUUGGAAUAGGACAUCAUAGAGGGUGAGAAUCCCGUAUUUGACCUUUACUUUCAACUUUGUGAUACACUUUCAAAGAGUCGGAUUGUUUGGGAAUGCAGUCCAAAAUGGGUGGUAAAUUUCAUCUAAAGCUAAAUAUUGGCGAGAGACCGAUAGCGAACAAGUACCGUGAGGGAAAGAUGAAAAGAACUUUGAAAAGAGAGUUAAACAGUACGUGAAAUUGUCAAAAGGGAAGCGUUUGACACCAGUGUUGUUUUUCUGAAAAUCAAUUAAAGAACUGUUUAUGCUAAGCUGUUUAGACUUUAUCAGCUAACUGUUUAGUUUUGAGCUUUUCUUUAAUGCACUUUUCAGUUAACAAGUCAACAUCAAUUUCUUUUGCUGUAAAAAAGCUUGAGGAAGGUGGCUUGAGAUUCGUCUUAAGUGUUUAUAGCCUCUUGCCUAUGCAGUCGGAGAGAUUGAGGUCUGCAGCGUAGAUCCUCCGGGGCUAAAUGCAUUUGUGCUAAGUUAUAGCAUUUUAUAGACAACUUGUUGACUAUGAUUUGUCUUGUAGCUUACUCGCUUAUGUUAUUUUACCUACGCUUAGGAUGUUGACUGAUAUGUAGUCGUA
rnacentral:rRNA from 1 species